UAGGGUUUUCUCACCCUCCCCACGUCUCUCUCUCUCUCUCUCACUCGCAUCUCUGGCGUAGCCGUCGCUCUCGCUCCCCUCCUCUCCGGCCCGAGCGGCCGCUUCUCCUCUGUGCCUCCCUCCUCCUCCUGACCGUCCCUUGUGCUAGCCCCUCUUUGCCAUGAAGUGCGGAGGAGCUAUCAGUAGCGGCAGAGGUCAGGCUCUUGGGGGUGAGGCUAGAGAAGUCCAGGCGGAGCACGCCGCCGCCGUUGCAACCAGCCGCGCCUUGGGCGACGCCGACGAGCUCCAAUGGCUUGACGCCACCAACGCGCUUCGGUGGAUCAAUCUGGCACCAAGAACCGUCCCAGCCUCGCUUCAUCUCUGCUGCCGCCCCCUCCCCUUCCACCCUAGCCGCCGCCCCCGUCGCGCGACUGCGAACCCGCCCUCCCGUCCCCCUCUCCUCUCCACUCUCCUCAGGACUAUGCAUGGCAUGGUAAUCAAACCACCAUUGUUAGCUGUUUGGUUGGCGCUUUUGAUGGAGAGAGGGGGGAUAAGUUGUAGACAUGUCAGAUUCCAGUUUCUAAUUAGCAGUCAAGGAGUAGAUAACUGCACAAGUUUGGACAUGCAUGAGGUAGUGGUUGUUAAAAAGAUAGAUGACUGUAACAAAUAAUGUGUGAGAACAAGGAGCCAGAAAUAUUGGAAAACGACCAUAAGAUAGAUAGUGGAUUCAGUGAUUUGGUUAUUAUGGAGGUUGAUGGAACUUGGUCUACUGUCGGAAUUCAGAGCCAUAAAGCAUUGGACUUGGACAAGCAACAAACAAUCAAAGACGCGUACGUUACUGCUCCAUGGUUCAGAGCUCUUCCAUGGCAGCAACCAGCGGUCCCAAGGCCAAGGACAGUUGUUGUAAGGAAUACGUUUCCAUGCACCUGCCUCGACCUUUAGGACUGAGAAUGUGGCCAAGGGGAUCCUGUGGUGCGGGGUGAUGACCGUGGACACGCUCCGCUGGGGGAAUGAGGUGCUCCGGAAGAGGAUCCAGCCCGGCGAUACUGAGGCUGAGGUCAGCCUGGAGAUGCGCAUGCGUAUCGAAAGAUGACGAGCGUGGCAAUCUCGGCGGGCUCGCUAAAGUCAGGGGAAGGAGAGAAACAAUGGGGAGCAUAACAUGGAUGUGGGGCAGGAGAGGCCGUGGUCGGAGCGGCAUUGCGUGGGCAUAUUGGGUAUUAUUUGAGCUGAUACUCCAUUUUCUUACAAGAGAUGUGGUCCCAUCAAUGUUGGCUGUCGAAUCUGUGCUGCAGUCCAUGCCCACCACGUCCGAGUCUUCGCCCCUUCGUCAUCCAACACAAACAGCAGAACAGAGUAGCAGUUGUGAUUUGCCAGGUUGGAGAACUGACGCAGCUUGCUGUCACGGAGUGCUCGCCCUUCUUCUGUGCCAUAAAGCCCCUCGGUCGAAACUUGCAAAUCAAAAUUGCCAACCCUGUCAAUCUCGCUGGAACGACGUCUAGCUCGUUGUGCUCCACUCACUCUAACGGCAUAUCUCAUAACUAAAGCUAUGAACAAGUGCUUCAGUUAUGCUGGUGGCAAUACAUUGCUUGAGGUGACCUCGUGUGCAAGAUUAUCCCCAUGGAGGGCGCUGGCACGGAGACAUUUGCUCACAUCAGUACUAUGAGCAGCCUGGUUGGGUGGUGACGUUUCCGAGUGGCCAAGCAAGAGCUUUUUUUUGGUCUACACCUAUGCAGUGGUGACUUCUGCUACAAUGUGCAUCAACACCAGAACCAUGUUCCUGAUCAUGGACGCUGUUGUGUCCCUCACCGGCUCUCUCCUUGCCAUCACCGACAGGGUUGUGCAGGCCACUACUCGCGCAACUACUUUGCAGUGUGGAGCAUGCCAUCGAGAUAGACCAAAAAAAGAACACCGCCGGCAACAACACCAAUGGGGGCCUCCCUGGUUUCCACCACCGCCGUUGCCAUCGUCGCCCUCCCCGCCGCCCCACACCACACUGCCAGAUAGGAGUUCCAGUGUAUAUUUAUUUUUCAUCCUUAUCAGAAUAAGGAUGCACCUUGAAUUAUAUGCAGUUUUGAAGACCAUCGUUUGGAAUUUUAUGCAGUUUCUUUUGAUGAAAAUAUUUAGUUUGUCGUAAAAUUCCAAUGAAUACAAUUCUGGAUGAGGACAGAAUAAUGUGUAGCUAUGAUGGAUGUUCUUAUUCCAGUGACUCAUCAUCCGGAGAUAAUAGUAAGAUGAAUUAUCAAUUAUGGCUUUCCUUCAA